rnacentral:lncRNA from 1 species
UUUUAUAGUAGUUCUCACGCCCAGUUGUUAUCCCUGUUUUGCAGAGCCACAGGUUUCGGCUGCUGCGCCUUCCGCGGAUCAGGAUUGAGGCAAGGGCGUCGCGAGUUAGAGCCCUACCCGACGUACUGAGCUAGAGGUGCCCCUACUGCAGGUAGAUGUUUUGUUUCGAGUUUAUGUAUAUAGUAGACUUAACUCGCCAGUAUGAGUAGCUCGGUAUUUUGGAUUUGGACUAUGUAUAUGAAACUCAGUUUGUUUAGCUUCUGUUUUCACUACAACAAAACUAUGUUUUAGCGGCGAUUAUUUUUUAAAUUAGCGGCAAUUACAAUUACCGCUAAAAUGUUUUGUGGCAAUUUUAACAAUUGCCGCUAUUGGCAGGGUCGCUAAAAGUUUUAGCGAUAUUUAUUCCGGCGGUUGGUAAAAAUCUAAAUAAAUGCCGCUAAAUAUUAUACAAUAACGACUAUUAUAAAUACCGCUAAAUAGUAUGCAAUAACAACUAUUAUAAAUGCCGCUAAAUAAUAUACAAUAACAACUAUUAUAAAUGCUGCUACAAUUAAUUAUAAUUGCCGCAAAAAACAUACUAAAUGAUUGAUUAAUAAAGCUUAUAGCGGCAAUUAAAUUAAUAUUAAAAUACUUGAUUAACAACUAAAUACUACAAUGAAUUGAAAUAUUAAAAAAUAUUAGUAACCAAAAAGCAUUAAUAAUUUGUAUAACAAAUAGUCUCAACUCUCAAAUUACAAUCUCAGUAUUCAAAUUAAAUUUCGAACAUAAGUUCUAACAAAAAAUACUUGUUCAAAAUGUAGCAAAAAAAUAACAAACACCGCAUGUCUUGCUUCCCACUUCAAUUUUCGCAGCUGCAGUUGAUCUGGAUCAACCAAAAAGAAGUCAUAAAAUUAGUAUCUGAAAUUACCAAAUAAAAAUCAUCAUAUCAAAUUUCUGAAAAACAUAAAAGUUAGGUUGCACUGUUCAUCAACAAAUAAGAAGACAAUAGUUAACAAUAUAUAAAUACCAUAAAGCAUAUCCGCACAAUAAUUAAUAAUGUAAAAGACCAAGUUCUGAUUGAUGAUUAAUCCUAUUUGUGCUUGGUUGAGGAAUAAAGAUUGUUCCGCUAUGGGGGAUAGUAAUAACUGAUCACAAAGUCAAUUUACUGGAGAUAUAACUUGAGGUUAUCUGAUACAAUCUACUGGAGAAUUAACAAUGUAAAAGAUUUCAAAAUUCUCUGUUAUCUCCUAAGCAACAAUUAGCAUGUAUAAUCGAAAAGAAUAGCAAGCCAUAAAAGAAUAGCGAGCCAUACCGUUGAUUGUGCUUCAGCUGACAACUCACACACAACUCAGAUUUCCUCCUGAAAAGAUUUCAAAUUAGAGAAAACAUAAAUAUAUAAAACGGGUGCUUCAGCUGACAACUCACACACAACUCAGAUUUCCUCCUGAAAAGAUUUCAAAUUAGAGAAAACAUAAAUAUAUAAAACGGGUGCUUCAGCUGACAACUCACACACAACUCAGAUUUCCUCCUGAAAAGAUUUCAAAUUAGAGAAAACAUAAAUAUAUAAAACGCUUGAACAUCAUAUGGAGCAAAAUUUCUUUCAUAUCAUGCUGAAAAAAUAACAUCCAUAAAACAUAAUGCAAAACUUGUGCAGCCCUCAACAAAACUAACAAAUUGACACCCAUAAUUUAAAUAAGUCCAAGUAAUUAGAAACCAAACACUUCAUAACCGAGUUAUAGCAAAACUCGGGCAGUGAUCAUCUUUGCCAAACAAUGUUGUAAGUAUGUGAGCAUUCUUCCACAACAUAAUUUUGAGUCAAGAUGGCUUGGUUAUCCCUUGAUCAACAGUAGGAAGAACCAAAGGAAAAAUUAAAAUUAAGUACUGGCUCUAAAAUAAAUUUAGAGCAAUAAUGCACAUUGUCUAUUUGCAAGUUAAGCCCUUUUUUUUCCUGAUCAAAGUACUAAUAUAUUAUUGUUUGGAUAGAAUUAUUUAACAAAAUUCUACAAAACUCAAAAGAAUAAGUUUCAAAAUAGAACUUCUACUUUCGCUAAUGAUCAUCUCGAACGGUAAAAAAACCAUGAAUUUUGCAGAUAUAUGGGGUGAAGAAAUUGUUACAGAAACAAAGCCAGAUAAGCACUAAUGCCGCAAAGUGUGUACAAGAGAUUCAUGGAAUUAAUUGAAAAUCUCCAAUGGUAAUAAAUGUGAUUUAGAACCUAAUAAGCCAUAUAUAUGUUUGCAAGAAUUCGAAAAUUCUGAAACAAUUUAAAACUCUAAUUUUAAUAGAAUAAGUACUACAAGAGGCUAUAAUUAAUGUAGCAACUCAUUAAAGAUUAAGAUUAUGAAAGGCUAUACAGCUACGCAGUAAUAGAAAAGCAAAAAAAGAAAACUAAGAUUCAAAGAGAACGUUGCGAUAAUGAGGGGGAAAAAAAAAAGAAAAAAAAAAAACUAGCAUCAGAUCAUCAUCAUUGUUAAGAAACUUUUAGUCUAAUAUAAAUAUUUGAAGGAAAAAGAUGCUGGAGGGGAAAUUGUGUUUGAAAUAACCAUGCUUUUUGGAAGGAGUUUUUUUUUUUUUCCUCUUGCGUUCGCAUCGACUCAUUUUCCGCUUUGUUGCUCUUGCUUCACCCUGAACUCCGCCACGGCAUUUUCAAACGUCGUCGUCACGUGCUGGCACAUCACCAUUAAGUCCUGUAAUCCAUCUUUCAGCACAUCCUUUGCUGGAUCACCCAUUGGUCCAACCAAGUAUUACAAACAAGAAGAGAGAAACAACGGCCAGAAUAAUUUUAAAAAAGACGAAGAAGAAGAAGAAGAAGAAGAAGAAGAAGAAGAAGAAGAAACUUUUCUAACUGCAAUUUGAUUCUUCUUUCAAUUUAAUUAGAGAAAAACAAUAAUAUUCUGUAAUCAACAACUGAAGCACAGAUUGGGUAUUCUAAGGAAAACUGGCAUAAACUGGGCUCAGCUACUUGAGAAUAGCUUUUCUCCGUGCAGUUAUAUAUGAAGUAGGAAAGCCAUCGAAAUAUUUUAUCCGUCUUCGAGUCUCUGCGUAUCAUCUUGAAAUUCAAUAAAAAAAUGCAUUAGUUAGUCCUUGCACUUUUAGUGAAUCGCAACUUCGUCACUAAUCCUUACUAGUCAUCAGAGAUUGUCGUCUCUUCUCCUAGCAGAGGCUAAAGAUUAGACAAAUUGAAUCACACUGCAAGAAAUUGACCGAGUUUAGAGCAAAAUUCUGCUUAAGUGAAAGAUCAAGGACCGAAUUGCCAUUUGAGAAAAGUUUAGGGACUACCAAUACAUUCUACCAAUGUUAAGAGUGCAAGACCUUCUAAAGCUAUUGUUCGGCAUAUUAUCCCCAAUGUAUGGUUACUCCUAAUAGAAAGAGGAUGGUGGGUUGCCGCAGAAGCAGAAGCUUCAAAUUGGAGGUCCUGCUUUUAGAUCCUAGAAGCUCAUUUUAGCUUCCAACACAGACAAAACUCUGCACUUCUUUUCCGCUAAAAACCUUGAUUGUAAAAGAUUUUGCCUUCUGGAGUAAAGAAGCUAGCUCUAGAAGGCAAGCCAAACAAGCACUCAAUAAUAAUCAAUUACAACAGAUCGAUAGGUAUACUAAAAGUAAAACGAGCGCGAGCAGAACAGUUAAACUAAUCCCUUCGAAGAGCAUAUGAAUAUAUCAUGCCGCUUAACAAAGAUGUUCAUCCGAAUGACAAUAAUAAUGAUACAUUCAGAUAGAAAGUAUGGGCACAGCGCAUACUAGUCAGAAUCAAAAACUGAAAUCUACAAAAUAGAGAGAAAAGAAGGUGCAUUUAUAACCUGUAGUCUGAACUCUGAUGUUAACUUUAUUAUCGGAAGGAUGAGGGAUGCUAUAUCCGCAAAAUGCCACCCUUGGACUGCAAAAUUUGACAAAAAGGUGAAAAGAAGAGAGACAAGAAAACAUAAGAUCAAGAGUUCGUUGAGUUUUCUAAAUGUUGGGAUAAGCAAACACUAAAACUAAAAUAGGCAUAGGGAAAAACAAUUCAGUGGCGGAUAAUCAAAAGAGGAAAUGCUUGAACAUAAGAUGUUGCUUGAAGCUUGAAAGUAUAAGGUAGUAGGUAAGUUAGCUGUGCUUCAUAUCCAUGGAUUUACUGAAACAUUUUUUUAUUUUCUCCCUAUUUUAUUUGACAUGCAUCAUUGGAGAGCAAGCAUAAUUAAGCAAACGAACUUACUCUUGAUUCAGAACAAAUCUAACAGAGUUUGCUAACGUGUGGUCUUCAUCCAAUAUAGAAAAAGCAUAAGAGAAAUGAUUUUAGGACACUUCAUAAUCAAAGCUACCUCAUAAAGCUUCAAACUUGUAGACACAGCAAAAUUGAUAUAAGAAAUGCAAAGAAGAGAUAUUUACUAAGAUGAAAAUUGUCAGCAAUAAGUAAAUAGAAAAGAUGGAAAUUUGGUGCAAGAAAUACCUUUUUUACUCCAAGAUAACAACUAAAGUGAAACAAAGUUGAAAAUUUGGUGAAGAAGGAUCAAUGAUUGAACCAUCUGAUGAGGCUUGUCACUUUCUUUCAGGAACCCAUGUAUUUCAUUUAUCAUCUGAAGCCAAUUUCUAUGCAAGACACUUUGGUUACGAAUAUGAGGUACUAGGGCUUGAAGAUCAAUUUGUAAUCCAAGUACUUAAUUGGGGAGAUUAUGUGAUAGAGGCUUAAAGAUGAAUUUAUACAUGCAAGCAUCAACUAACUAACCUAAUAAAGGCUUUAAGGGCAUCAGAAGUUGAAAACAAAGUAAAAGCAUAUAGACCUCACCCCAAUUACAGCGCACUUUGGAAUGAGCACCUUAAUUUAAAAGUUGGAUUUUAUUACAAAGCCUUAGAGUAGGACUUGUUUAAGAUUCUAUCUUAUUCAAGGCCUCUUAGUCAGAAUUUGACAGUAUUUUUACCUUUUCUAAUGGAAGAUUCUUUAACCUACAAGAAUAUUCCGUUACUUGACAGAAUAUUCUGUUACUUUUUGACAGAAACUGUCAAGUUCUAACUUUGCUCGACCAAAUUUUCUGAAAUCAUUAGUGGAGUUUUAUGUAGUAAAAUUAAUACUUCUAAGCCGACCGUCUCUAGUGCAAGUGGCAAAGGGCUUGGUAGUUGGUACCCAAGGUCGCAAGUUUGAAUCCGAAUUGAUUCACAUUUCCAGCUAAGUUUAUUUCUAAAAAAAUAAACUAAGUGGGUAGCAUGCUACCUUUCUGUCUCAAAAAAAAAAAAUAAUAAUACUUCUAAAGUUUAGGCACCUAUUCAAAAUAUGCUGAAGUUCAGGUCAAGUUUGUACAUUUUGACUCAAAAAUAAAAAGUUCGUGGAUGUUGAAACAACUUGAAAACAUAGAAAACAAAUAUUGAUAGAAAACCUUUUGUAUGGACAAUCAAAAUAUAUGUGAAAUAAAGAUUAUGGACAAGAUUCUGGAGUUCCUUCUUUUACUUUUAUUGCCCCAGGAUAGAAGUUUUGAGAUGAUUAAUAAAAGUGUUGCCGGAAAUUUGUAAUACCUUAGCAGAAUAGAGAAUCACAUCCUCCUUGCUCAAUUUGAGACAAUGGCUGCCCCCAUAUGAGGCAAGAUUUAGAGCUGCACGUGGUUCUGCCUAACACAACAUUGAGCACACUAAAAUGCUACAAAACUUCUUAAGAGGAACUAGCAGGUAAAUAAAAUGAAAAGUUCUUGCACAACAGUAGAAUGUCUUACUUGUGAGCCAGUUGUAACAAUCAACAGAUCUUUCGGGGCAUAGGCAUCAAUAUCCUCUACUUUCACCUGCAAUAAUAAUUGAUCUUGGCAUAAUUAGUCAGCCGGAAUAAAAAAUUAGGGUAGGGUUUCACUAAAUAAGGAGCAAACUUUUCUGUCUCUGAUGUGUAAACCUAAAACUCUUUUAGAGUUUGCAAUUUUUCAUAGUGAAAAGACAUGGCACUGAAAAAACAUCUUAUACACAUCCCACUCUGUUUCAUGAAAAUAGCCAUUCUUCUCGGUAAAUGAUAAUAAAGAACAAGAUGGUAAGCUUGAAUUAGUAUGGAAAGCAAAAUUAUUGGCAGGUAAUGCAAGUUAUUUAGAUACGGAGCUAAUGAAUAUUUGAAGGAAGCAUAGGCACAUGCGCAUAUCAAAAAAAAUAAUAAUCAUCAUAAGUUGCCUCCUUCACCAAAUCCAUAGUCCUAAUUUACCUCAUAGAGUUUUAAGCUGCCUUAACAUUUGUCAUUUAAGAGGUAUCUAUAUGAUUACAAAAUUAACACAGCUCUUUCAUAUGACCAUGCAAUUAGUUGGGUGUGUUUCAUGGGAAUAAUUUGAGGCCUAGAAUAGAAAUACGAAUAAAUUAUUCCCAUUUUGAUUCCAAUUGCUGGCUACCGCCUUGCUGCCAUCGUUGCCUCUGCCACCACCACCAAUGCCGUUGUCCUGCUACUGGCUGUCAUCAUCAUUAUAAUCACGACUGCCAUCCCAAGGGCCAUAACAACCACAAUUGUUAUAACUAUCGCUGCCGCCACCACCAAUAUCUUGCCAUCACUACAAUUACCAUCCUCACCGCUAUUACCACCAUUCUCACUUGUAGCACCAUACCUUAGCAAACCAAAGAUGGACAUCAUUCAGGUCAGGCCCGUUCUCAACUAGUGUAAUUUUGCGGGCUAGGUCCGCAAUAUUCAAUACAUAUUCCAAAUCUGAGCCUGCUCCAAAUUGACCGGCUUGCAUAAGAAACCGGCUUGGGCCAAGUAAACAGAAGAAAGAAAAACUUGAGACUGACCCAGAUUUUCUCUGGCUUCAAAAUUUGAGGCCAUAUCAGGACUGAUGAAGCAAGCCAGCCUCAACCCAACUUGCAAACAAUUGUGAUGGUCUAACUCAAGGUUUAAAGUGCCGUGACACGGGGGCGUGCCGUUAUGUCCCUGGCACGGUACGGCACAGACACGCUUGUGUGCUGAUAGAUACGCAUGACCUCCUACUGGCAUGCUUUGGCACGGACUUAUUUUAGUUUUUUGGUUUCACUUUCAAUAACAUCAACAAAUUCAGACAGUAAGCCUUUUAGAAGCAAACUUGGACACAUUACAAACUGAUCAAAUAUUUCAACAUCAUCACAUAUAAUUAAUUAAUAUUUACUUUUUUUUUUACUUCAGAUUAGCAAUAUCAGAAAUCUAAUACUUUGAAAACACCAAGACAUUCAAUUCAGUUAAAACAUGAAAUUCGACUAAAACACCAACAUACUAGAAUGCUUACAUCUAAGGAGAAAUAAAAUAGUAAAUGGACAAAGCCAUUCAAGUCCGCUUAUAAUCUAAACGUGAUGGCUAUUUACUGAAAACAGUAGAUAUAAUAUGAUUCAAUCCCUGUUUACGUAAAAUCCCACUCACAUUUAGUUUUUGACCAGAGUCAGAGCUGUACUGCUGCUACAUAUGCCUCAUAAUAUUACUUUAUAUCUUACUAAUAUAUUAGUAAAUUUAUUUAACACUUUAAAUUACUUACGUGUAUAAUUCUAUUACAAACGGACCCUCAAUCAAUUAAUAGAGAACGAUUACACUGAAAAGUUUGACACUAUAAGGGAUCACAAAGACAUAUCAUUACAGUAGUAGAGCAAUUUACCAUGACAUUAGAUUAUUCACACAAAAUUUCUCAUUAAGAGCAGAUGAAAAGCUUCAAUAGCAUCAGACAAAUACAAACACACUAUAUGCAGUGUGUGUACAGAACAAAUAUAAGUUGCAAAUUCUCUGUUAUGCGCAAUCAAGUAUUGUUCUAAGAAUGCAGUAUGAAAUGGAACACGAAAACUUCGAACAAAUUCACUAGAACUGAAUUCGAUCUACUGAUACUUGGCAUUCUCAUUCUACAUCUUCACCACGAUAAUCACUACUACAUAUAUAUGAAUGCAAAGGAAGUAAAUAGAGAUAUAUGUAUGUAUAUAUGUAUGUACACUCUGCUUUGAAUCCUCAAGAUAGGGUGAUGAAGUGUUGCAGUGAACUGACCAAGCUUGGAGGCCAAUGCUUAGUCUCUUUAACAUACGACAGAUCGAUGUAGUGCGGAUCCAAUACAGUGGCUAUUAGGGCAAUAACCAGAACGAUUGCGGGAGAAACCAAACUACAAACGAAUUGAAGAGCUCAUCGUUUUAGAUACGGAUUUCGNUCUUUCUUUCUCUCUCUCUCUCUCUAUAUAUAUAUAUAUAGUAAAACAAAAAUAUUUUUGAUAGUAAAAAAAAUAGUGUUUGCUAUUAUUUUUUUUUUCCCAUUGAAUGUGUAGGAUGUAAACAUCUUUCAAAUUUUUUCUUUGUACACUCAAUCAUAUUUUUUAUAUUUAUUAUUUAUUUUAUUAUAUUUAUAUAAUUAAAAUAUGAUUAUUUAUUAUAUUAUUUUUAAAAUAUAUUCUAUCGCAUUGGUACUUUUAAUAACGAAAGAUUCGACUACAGAAAAUAAAAGAUCGAAAACCGAAUUUCUUUUUUCAAAAAGAAAUGCAUUGGGCCCUUUAUUGUGUGUUCCUCACUAUAUUGUGGAUGUGUUAGACAACAAAAUAAAUUUUUACGUGAAACUGAAUAGAAAUUAAAGAAUAAAAACCAAAAUAGUUUACUUUAAAUUAUAGAAAAAUUACUAUAUCAUAUGGAAGCUUUUGAAAAUUUACUUUUAAAACGUGAAGAUGAUUAUAAAAAUGUUGCCUUUCUUUUUAUAAGUCAGGACAAAUUUGUUGACCACAGUAGUAGUCGAAGCAAUGUUGAUGACUAAUUUGAAGAAUAAAAAAAAAAAAAAAAGCUUUUACUUGGCUCUAUAUCGUGACACAACAACAUCAUGCUCCACUUUAUAACUAAAUAUUAAGCUUAAUUACACUCUGAUACCUUAAACCUUUUCUUUCGCAAAUUUUAAUUUAUUAUAAUUUUUAAUUCGAAUUUAAAAAAUUAUAAUCAAAUUUACAAUUUAAUUUAGAUGACUGAAUAUUAAUAUGUCGUUAAUGUAGAAGUAAUGUGGCACGUUAACAUUUAAUCAGCGAAGUUUGGUUUGUGGACUUGAUUAUAAUAAAAUAAAAACUCGAGUGAGAAAUUAUAAUAAAUUAAAGUAUGAAAAUUGAGUGUGACACGCCUUUUGUAACUUAGCUAAAUAUUAAUAUUAAAAGCUUAAAAAGUUUUUUUAAAAAAAUUUAAGUAAUUAAAGAGACCAGCACAACUUCUAGAGGAGUGAGUCAGCUAAUCGAAAAUUCUAAAUGGGUAUAGUUGGAAGCUAAGAUGAGUGGGAAAAACUAUGCAAGAUUAUAUAAUUAGUUAAUUACAAAGUUAAAAUAAUAAUAAUAAAAAUGGUAGAUUUGGUAAUUAAAUUCGUGCUGAUAAGUUAAUACGCAGAUUAUCUGAGCGAAGAAAGAGAGUGUUAGACGUAAUUAAAAAUUAUUCUAUGGUUACGUAUUUGGGUCAAAUAAUCAAAUGUAAAUAAACUAAUAUAAUGACAUUAAUAUAUAAUGGGUAAAACAUACCGACAAAAUAUAUAUAUAGAUUAUUUCGCAUGAUUAUUUUUACUUAAAUUAAUAUUUGAUUGUACAUAAUUAGGGGCCGUUUGGCUAGAUGCAGUUGCAGAAAUAGUAUAAUUGAAAGUACAUGCAGUUAUAAAUACUGCAGUCGUAACUACACCAGGCUGUUUGGUUUUAUACAGUUGCAAUGGCUGCCGUUAUAUUUUUGGUAGACUUCAGUUGAGAUUUGUAUUUGUAAAUCCUGUCACUUUUAGAUAGAAAGGUAAAAUUAUCUCUUUUGAAUAUAAUAUAAUCAUGAGAUCCUUUAAUUAUUAAUUAAGACUUUUAUAUCUAUAUAUAAUUUACAUAUUAUAAAAUUAUGUAUGAAUUUAAUAAAUUUUAAAUAGAAAUAUAUUAUAAAUUUGAUUAAAAUAAAAAUUAAGAUAUUAUUGAAUGAGUAUAUUGGGAAAAAUAGAAGCGUAUGAAAAAAAUUUAUUGGACCACAACAGGCAUUAUUGAACCUUAGCAACUUUCGUGAAUAGGCAUUCUUGGGGAAAAAAAAGUAAAAAAAAAAAGCCUAUGAAAAAAAAAAUCACACUAUUUUCUCUUAAUAGGUGAGCUGAUUUCGGCAACUGCAGCCGUUGGGCUUUUUCAUGCAGAUACAACUACAGCAGUUGAGCCUAAUUAUAUUAAAUUAAAUAAAAAUUUAAUAGAUGUAUACAUUUUCAACUGCGCUGCAGGUGAAAAUGCAUGCAGCCAAACAACUCCUUAUUACUGCAUAAAAAUUCCUGCUAUAUACAAAUUUAAAAAUAGAAUUUGAGUUCAAGUGUUACAGUUGGAACUGUAUAUAUAGCAUUGAUAGUAAUAACAAUUAAUCAAAUUAUCUUACCUGCUACUCUCUUUCUUGGAUUCAAGAAAUGUAGAACCUUAAACCCAGGAGCUGCAAAAAAGAGAGAGAGAGAGAGAGAGAGAGAGAGAGUGAUAAGUUGAGAAGAGAGAGAAAAUGUUAAGGGAAAGUUAGAGGAGAAGGUGUAGAGUUAGAGGGGGUAUUUAUAGUGGCGGAGCAUAACGGAAUCUGUAUACGGAAUAUUACUGCGCCGUCAUUUUCGUCGGGGUCCACCGGUCAACGCUGUUUGACGGCGUUAGCAUGUAACGUACUACCCGGGCACACGACGCGCCACCUCAAACGCGCGCAGUUGUUCCGUUCCCACGAGCAUAUUUGUUUCAAACCAAAUUAUCAAACUAAACAAAUUUAUAUUUUAUACCGAACCAUCCCUAUUGCAAAUAGCAAAAGAUUUAAUAGUUGAUACCCGAAAUUUUAAAUUUGAAUAUUAAUUGAUUCAUAUUUUUAACUAAGUUUAUUUUUAAAUAAAGUAAACGAAACGGGUAGCGUGCUACCUAUCUCUCAAAAUUUUUUUUAAUAUAUUUAAAAAGUAUGAGUUAGAUCCUAUAUUUUCAAAAGUACGGCGAACUCCGUACUUGUAAGUUAUUUUUGAUGAUGCGACGUUCGAUUCGGAGAUCGAUUCAACUAGACAUGAUUUACACUAUUAAAACUAUCUAGAAAUCAAAUUUUAUAAUUAUUUUACUUUAUUUGGCUAGUAAAUGAGUAGCUUUAGAAUGAACGACUGAAAAUAAAAAUUUCAUAAAAGACUGAAAUUUUAAAUCAGAAAUAUUAAUUCCGCUAUUGAUGUUAAGUAAAAUUUUUUAUUAAAGUUUCAUAUAAUUUUGAUUGUUCUACGCCGUUGAACUUAAAAAUGUACCAUAUUGACUGUUAAAAUAGUUAUUUUUGAGAUCUUUUUGAUCACUUAGUAAACUAUAUCAAAAAAUUAUGAAAUUUGGUUGAUAGAUAAUUCCAAUAGCGUAGAUUAUGCCUAACGGAGCUAAUCGUCAAAUCAAAUAUUUUAUCAUCGAAAACAACUUACAAAUAUGGAGACCUCCCUACUUUCAAAAACACAAGAGACAUACUCUAACAAGUAUUAUUAUAAUUAUAAAAAAUUAGUUUUUAAAAAAAUUAUUAUAAAUUAUGCGAUGAAUAAUUCACCGCUUAAAUUUAAUUUUAUAAUCAGCUCGUACUCGACGUAGGAGCAUCGGAUUGCGACGAGACUUGGUUCGUUGGAUUCGGAACUUCGAGAGGAAUCCACAAAGCCCUUACUUGCCGGAUUUGGUGAAGGUUAGCUUGGUCGAAUCCCUUUUCUACUCUGUUGCUGUGAAAUUCGGACUGAAUUGGUGGAUUUUGAUCGUAGAGCUUGGAGUUAGCUCGAGUGCUAGACUUGGAGGGUUCCAGUUGAUCCAGCAGGGAUCACUUUGGUUCGAGGCUUCAUUCGCUGCCAGGAGCUAGCUUUUUGAGGUGGGUUACAUCGGUUUUGACUCCUAAGUUCUAAUCGUCGACAUGUAUAAUUUUGGUAUAGUCUAUUCUAGCUCGAAUUUAUGAAUUAUAUUGUAGAUUGCAAAUCUGAAUUUGGAGCAUGUGGUAAUAAGUUGUUAUACAUGUUGAACUUGGAAUUUGACUUAGAAGAAAACCUGCGAUUUGGACCUGUCACUUGUUUAAACUGCCUGAUUUAGCUCUAGGAGCCGUUAUAAAAUUGUACUGUCGCAGUAUCUUUGAGACGAGUACUCCAGAUAGUUUAGAAUGCAUUUACGCUCGUGUUGGUACGCCGAGUGGGUUUUUACAGGGUCAUUUGGCUGUUUCGGACUUUUGGGCGCCGUUGGAGUUGAUGGUGAGCCCGGUUCGCCGUUUUGGCGUCAGAUUGUGCCGAGGGCACGUUACUUGUUUAUUGUUAGACCAGUUAGAGUUGGUUACUUAGACUUUGGCUUGACAGAGCCUGAUUGAGCUCGACAGAGAUACGCUGCAUACUCGGUUGGGUAGCGCCCACGAGUGCCACUCCGAAGUCAGGCUUUGUGCUUUCGCGUUGGUGUCGCUCAUGCCGGUUGGACUUGCUCUCCAUGGACCAGUUAGUGUGGAGGUAGCUGGAUAGUCGCAACUGGGCAGGGACGGAUGUAUUCACAAUCCCAGGGAUGGGUAUGUUUACAGUCCCGAUUGGAUUGGGUCAGAUUUCACAUUUUCUACAGUUGGUUAGUGUAGAGCAUGACAGUGUAGUGAUUUGUAGCGGUUGAGUUUAUUUCCUGUAUUUUCCUACUAUCCUGGCUCCCCUCUGUAGACUUAGUGGGUGGACCGAUAUUGUUUGGGCGGCACCCACUGAGAACUACUUGUUUUUAUAGUAGUUCUCACGCCCAGUUGUUAUCCCUGUUUUGUAGAGCCACAGGUUUCGGCUGCUGCGCCUUUCGCGGAUCAGGAUCGAGGCAAGGGCGUCGCGAGUUAGAGCCCUACCCGACGUGCUGAGCUAGAGGUGCCCCUACUGCAGGUAGAUGUUUUGUUUCGAGUUUAUGUAUAUAGUAGACUUAACUCGCCAGUGUGAGUAGCUCGGUAUUUUGGAUUUGGACUAUGUAUAUGAAACUCAGUUUGUUUAGCUUCUGUUUUCUCUAACAGUUCUCUACUACUGUUCGUAGUAGUAUUGGAUUUACAGGUACAGCUGUCGCUUCAUAUACAGGAAAAAUUUCUUUGCAUACGGUGGAUUUAUCGGCGUGCCCGGGGAACGAGACAUCCGAGGCGUGACAAUAAAUCUUUCAAAUUAACGAACGAUACCGUUGAAGAUGAUUUAGAACAUUUAAUAUAUCUAAAAAUCAAAAUUCACGUUUUUAUCGAUAUUAUUUUCUGGUCCAGCAAAAAUGAUAAAAGAGCUAUUCUAUUGCAUCUACACCAAUUAAUUUCAAUCCAAAUCAGUUUCAUAUCAUCUCAAACUUCUCGGAAACCUCCUAAAUAGUAUCGAAUACGAUCUCAUACUGAGAUUUCGCUAAUUUGCAAAAAAUCAAUAUAUUACAAUAAAUUAACUC